rnacentral:lncRNA from 1 species
CUGUAUCUUUUUGAUUGGGACAUUUAAGCUAUUUACAUUUAAAUAUUGAUAAGUAUGUACUUAUUGCAAUUUUGUUAAUUGUUUUCUGGUUAUUUUUUGUUUUUUUUUUUUGUUUUUUUUUUUUGUUUUUUUUUUUUUUCUUUUUUUUUUUUUUGUUUUUUUUUUUUUGUUUUUUUUUUUUUUUUGUUUUUUUUUUUUUGUUUUUUUUUUUUUUUUUUGUUUUUUUUUUUUUGUUUUUUUUUUUUUGUUUUUUUUUUUUUGUUUUUUUUUUUUUUUUUGUUUUUUUUUUUUUGUUUUUUUUUUUUUGUUUUUUUUUUUUUUGUUUUUUUUUUUUUGUUUUUUUUUUUUUUGUUUUUUUUUUUUUUUGUUUUUUUUUUUUUUUUUAUUUUUUUUUUUUUAUUUUUUUUUUUUUUUUGUUUUUUUUUUUUUGUUUUUUUUUUUUUUUGUUUUUUUUUUUUUUUAUUUUUUUUUUUUUUAUUUUUUUUUUUUUAUUUUUUUUUUUUUUUGUUUUUUUUUUUUUUUGUUUUUUUUUUUUUAUUUUUUUUUUUUUUUGUUUUUUUUUUUUUUUGUUUUUUUUUUUUUGUUUUUUUUUUUUUAUUUUUUUUUUUUUUUUUUGUUUUUUUUUUUUUUUUUGUUUUUUUUUUUUUUUGUUUUUUUUUUUUUUUGUUUUUUUUUUUUUUUUAUUUUUUUUUUUUUUAUUUUUUUUUUUUUGUUUUUUUUUUUUUUUUUUGUUUUUUUUUUUUUAUUUUUUUUUUUUUGUUUUUUUUUUUUUUUUUUUUGUUUUUUUUUUUUUUGUUUUUUUUUUUUUGUUUUUUUUUUUUUAUUUUUUUUUUUUUGUUUUUUUUUUUUUUUGUUUUUUUUUUUUUUUUUUUGUUUUUUUUUUUUUUGUUUUUUUUUUUUUUGUUUUUUUUUUUUUUUUUUUUGUUUUUUUUUUUUUGUUUUUUUUUUUUUUUUUUUUUUUUGUUACUUUGGUUUUAUACUUUCCUAUAUUUUCUCUUUGUUGAAAUUCUUACUGUGUUCAUUCAUUCUUCUCCUUAGUUUGGUAAGCAUCUUUAUGACCAUUACUUUGAACUCUUUUGGGUAGAUUACUUAUCUCCAUUUCAUUAAGGUCUUUUUCUGAGGCUUUGUUGGUCUUUUGUUUGGAACAUAUUCCUCUGUCUUCUCACUUUGCCUGAUUCUCUGUGUCUGCUUCUAUGUAAUAGGUGAAAAAGCCAUCUCCUCCAAUAUUGAAGGAAUGACCUUGUGUAAGAGAUGACACAUGGAGCCCAGGAUCACAAUCACUCUAGCCACCAUAGGCAAGUGCUCCAGGGGUAUGUCCUGUGUGGGCUGUGUGGGCUGUGUGUGCCAGGCAGCUGUGGCUGAGCUGUGGCUAUGGUGCAGGGGGUGGGGCAUUUGCCCACCAACAAAGAAGGGUGGGCUCCUUGCCCAGUCAGUGGUUGUGAGGCUGGGAUGUAGAGG